CCUGAAGCGUAAGGCAGAGGUGAAAAGGGAAGCCGGUGCAAGUCCGGCACGGUCCCGCCACUGUGAAAAGGAAUGGACGAAGGGAAGCCCCUAUUUUGUCCGCUCCCAAGUCAGGAGACCUGCCUGUAGAUG
rnacentral:ncRNA from 1 species